GCCAGGUGUGGUGGAGCGCACCUGUAAUUCCAGCAGCUUGGGAGGCUGAGACAGGAGAAUUGCGAGUUCAAACCCAGCCUCAGCAACUUGAGGUGAUAAGCAACUCAGUAAAACCCUGUCCUU
rnacentral:sRNA from 1 species